rnacentral:rRNA from 1 species
UGGGGAAUUUUGGACAAUGGGCGCAAGCCUGAUCCAGCCAUGCCGCGUGCGGGAAGAAGGCCUUCGGGUUGUAAACCGCUUUUGUCAGGGAAGAAAUCUUCUGAGUUAAUACCUCGGGAGGAUGACGGUACCUGAAGAAUAAGCGCCGGCUAACUACGUGCCAGCAGCCGCGGUAAUACGUAGGGUGCAAGCGUUAAUCGGAAUUACUGGGCGUAAAGCGUGCGCAGGCGGUUUUGUAAGACAGAGGUGAAAUCCCCGGGCUCAACCCGGGAACUGCCUUUGUGACUGCAAGGCUUGAGUGCGGCAGAGGGGGAUGGAAUUCCGCGUGUAGCAGUGAAAUGCGUAGAUAUGCGGAGGAACACCGAUGGCGAAGGCAAUCCCCUGGGCCUGCACUGACGCUCAUGCACGAAAGCGUGGGGAGCAAACAGGAUUAGAUACCCUGGUAGUCCACGCCCUAAACGAUGUCAACUGGUUGUUGGGAAGGUUCCUUCUCAGUAACGUAGCUAACGCGUGAAGUUGACCGCCUGGGGAGUACGGCCGCAAGGUUGAAACUCAAAUGAAUUGACGGGGUCAUAGCUGUUUCCUG